CAACAGCGUAUAUUUAAGUUGUUGCAGUUAAAAAGCUCGUAGUUGGAUUUCUGCUGAUCGCUGUCGGUCUGCCGUCAGGUGUGUACUGGCAGUGUUUGGCAUCUAUUCGAGAUUGGGUGUCCACUUGAUUGUGUGCACUCGAUGUCGGAGCUAAUACUUUGAGAAAAUUAGAGUGUUCCACGCAGGCGCGUGCCUUGAAUACUGCAGCAUGGGAUAUUGGAAGGCCGAUUGAGCUUUCUUGUUGGUUCUCGGUUUGAUCGGAAUGAUUAAUAGGGAUAGUUGGGGGCAUUCGUAUUCAACUGUCAGAGGUGAAAUUCUUGGAUUUGUUGAAGACGGACUACUGCGAAAGCAUCUGCCAUGGAUGUUCUCAUUGA
rnacentral:rRNA from 1 species